UACGUAGGGCGCAAGCGUUUGUCCGGAAUUAUUGGGCGUAAAGAGCUCGUAGGCGGUUUGUCGCGUCUGCUGUGAAAUCCCGAGGCUCAACCUCGGGCUUGCAGUGGGUACGGGCAGACUAGAGUGCGGUAGGGGAGACUGGAAUUCCUGGUGAUAGCGGUGGAAUGCGCAGAUAUCAGGAGGAACACCGAUGGCGAAGGCAGGUCUCUGGGCCGCAACUGACGCUGAGGAGCGGAAAGCAUGGGGAGCGAACAGGA
rnacentral:rRNA from 1 species